UAUUAUACUAAUAAAUACUAAUAAACCUGAAUUAUUAAUAGAUAUAUUCUUUAAAUUUGAAGAAUUUGGCGGUGACUUAGUCUUGUUAGAGGAACCUGUUUUUGAAUCGAUAUUCCACGUAAAAUUUUACUCAUUUUAUUUAGUUUAUAUACCGUCAUUAGCAGAUAAUUUUUAAAAAAUCAAUUAUUAAAUAUUAAAGGAGGUUAACUUAAAUUAGAUCAAGGUGUAGCUUAUAAAUGAGUUAGAAUGGGUUACAAUAAAAUUUAUUUAGAACGGAGCAGUCAUAGGAAGCAGUGUUGUAGAAGGAGGAUUUAAUUGUAAUGAAAGUUUAAUAAGCUAGAAAGAUAUAAGCCCUAAGUCAU
rnacentral:rRNA from 1 species